rnacentral:rRNA from 1 species
GCAACAUCCGUGGCUGCGGCUGGGGGAUAGCGGAGGGUGGAAGCGUUAAUCGGAAGGAGUGGGCGUAAAGCGUGAGUAGGGUGUUCGUUAAGUCUGCUGUGAAAUCCCCGGGGUGAACCGUGGAAUGGCAGUGGAUACUGGAGAGCUAGAGGGUGAUAGAGGAUGGUGGAAUUCCCGGUGUAGCGGUGAAAUGCGUAGAGAUCGGGAGGAACAUCAGUGGCGAAGGCGGCCAUCUGGAUCAACACUGACGCUGAGGCACGAAAGCGUGGGGAGCAAACAGGAUUAGAUACCCCGGUAGUC